UACGGAGGAGGCAAGCGUUAUCCGGAAUUAUUGGGCGUAAAGCGUCCGUAGAUGGUUUUGUCAGUCUGCUGUCAAAGCACAGGGCUUAACCCUGUAAAGGCAGUGGAAACUACAAGACUAGAGUGCAGUAGGGGCAGAGGGAAUUCCCAGUGUAGCGGUGAAAUGCGUAGAGAUUGGGAAGAACAUCCGUGGCGAAAGCGCUCUGCUGGACUGCAACUGACAUUGAGGGACGAAAGCUGGGGGAGCGAAUGGG
rnacentral:rRNA from 1 species